AUGGCCGGUGAAGCAGACGAAGUAGAGGCCGAGGGAGGCGGGCAGGCCGGCGAGGUUGAGGACGUUGCCGUUCGUGCGGAACCCGGAUUCAGAGACUCCGGCCCAGACCAGCGACGCCGUCAAGGCCGCCGACGCGACGAGCCCGAGCGCCGACACGUAGGCGAGCACGCCGAGGUUCCUGAGCCAGGUGGUGGGCAGCACGACGGCGCCAGCCAGGACGAUGAAGAGCUGCUUCCCGCGCAGCCGGUAGCCGGGGAGCAGCUCCACGCCGGCGCCGGGGAAGAGCUUGUCGAGGUUGUCGCCCUCGAGGACCAGGAAACUGAUGGCGACGAGGUAGAGCUCCACGUACAUGAACACGGCGACGGUUCUUCGGCCGGCGGCGCCGAAGGCCAGCUGGCCGAUGUCCGGGUAGGUGGCGACGGAGCCGUCGGCGCGCAUGCAGCGCGCCAUGAGCGUGCCGGUGUAGUAGCAGACGGCGCCGACGAGGGCGAAGAGCGCCAGGCUGAGCCACCCGCCCCGCGACACCGCGUACGGCAUGGUGAGCACCCCGAUGCCCGAGACGGCGUUGGUGAGGUUGAGGCACGUCCUGGAGAAGGAGGCGCCGGCGCUGCGAUACGGAGGGAGCUGCGCCUCGGCGUCGCGGUCAGCUCGCUGCCCGGUGGCCGUGAGAAGUGGCUCGCCGAGGGGGCUCGCCGUCGCAGCGAGGCGGCUCGUCGUGUGGUCUUCCAUCUCUGA
rnacentral:rRNA from 1 species